CUGGGUCCUCGGGGGGCGGUGGAGACCGCGGGUGCGGUGAUUGCUUGACCCUCGCACCUCGCCGUCUCUACUGCUCGCCGGGUACGUCUGG
rnacentral:pre_miRNA from 1 species